rnacentral:rRNA from 1 species
AAUUUUUGAUACUGGGGGAAACCCUGAUCGAGCCAGCCCGCGUGUAUGAUGAAGGCCUNCGGGUGNUNAAGUACUCUUGGCAGAGNCGAAAAGGUAUCGCCUAUGACGAGAUACUGCUGACGGUAUCUGCAGAAUAAGCACCGGCCAACUACGUGCCAGCAGCCGCGGUAAUACGUAGGGUGCAAGCGUUAAUCGGAAUUACUGGGCGUAAAGCGAGUGUAGGCGGUUCGGAAAGAAAGAUGUGAAAGCCCAGGGCUCAACCUUGGAACUGCAUUUUAACUGCCGAGCUAGAGGAUGUCAGAGGGGAGUAGAAUUCCACGUGUAGCAGUGAAAUGCGUAGAUAUGUAGAGGAAUACCGAUGGCGAAGGCAGCCCCAUGGGAUAAUACUGACGCUCAGACACGAAAGCGUGGGGAGCAAAAAG